GCCAGUAUGGGUUAGUGUUUUGAGCCCUGGACUACAACUCUGGAGACCAAGGUUUGAAUCCCUGCUCAGUCA